GAUGGGUGAGUAUAGCAUAAGCACCAUCUUUGUGGGCAAAGAUGGUGCUUAUGCUAUACUCACCCAGA
rnacentral:miRNA from 1 species